UACGUAGGGUGCAAGCGUUAAUCGGAAUUACUGGGCGUAAAGCGUGCGCAGGCGGUUUUGUAAGUCUGUCGUGAAAGCCCCCGGCUCAACCUGGGAAUUGCGAUGGAGACUGCAAGGCUUGAAUCUGGCAGAGGGGGGUAGAAUUCCACGUGUAGCAGUGAAAUGCGUAGAGAUGUGGAGGAACACCGAUGGCGAAGGCAGCCCCCUGGGUCAAGAUUGACGCUCAUGCACGAAAGCGUGGGGAGCAAACAGG
rnacentral:rRNA from 1 species